rnacentral:rRNA from 1 species
UACAGAGGGGGCAAGCGUUGUUCGGAAUUACUGGGCGUAAAGGGCGCGUAGGCGGCCUGCUAAGUCGAACGUGAAAUCCCUGGGCUCAACCCAGGAACUGCGUCCGAUACUGGUUGGCUUGAAUCCGGGAGAGGGACGUGGAAUUCCAGGUGUAGCGGUGAAAUGCGUAGAUAUCUGGAGGAACACCGGUGGCGAAGGCGACGUCCUGGACUGGCAUUGACGCUGAGGCGCGAAAGCCAGGGGAGCAAACGGG